UUUUUUUUUUCAAAGAAGUUAUGUGAGUUGUCGGGUUGGCCCAUAAGUUUGCAGGUGGUGUUAGGAGUUGGAAUGGGUCGGUUAUCAAGGACAUUAUGUCUGAUCUACUGUAACACCUCUCUCUCUCUCUCUCUCGUAACUGCGGGUUAGUUUCAUGUUUACAUUCUGCAAUAUGGUGAUCGAUUUGAUAGUAAUAAGGCCGCAGUAAUAGUACGAUGCAAAACAGCCCUCAUUUGGCUGAAAUUUUAAGUUUUCUGGUAUUUUGAUUAGUGAUGAUGUGAGAUAAUUUCGUGGUUAAGUCGGCUUAUGAAAGAAAGAAGCAACUCACUAUGAACUUUGAAAGGAUUAUUGAAGGAAUCAUCCACGAGUUUAUCGGAUUAAAAAUGGAAAUAGGAUCACUACAUUAGCCCAGCUAACAGGAUUUUGUAGCUAGCCCUUAUAGUGCUAGCAUUAAGUUACAGCAACUUGUUUCACCUGAUAUUCAGGUUAAGUUUACUGGUUUACUUGUUUCACCUCAACUUGUACAUGGUAAGUUUACCGGUUUACUACAUUCGUAAUUGCAUUUUAUGUGAUUGUUGAUCUGAAAUAUUAACUGCUCAAUUCACUCAUCAAAUGCUUGGUAAAAACUAUUUCACACUUAAGUUGUGUGAUCUUGAAAAAAAGGACUUAUUUUAGCAGAAUAUAUGUGAAAGGUAUCCCAACACUAAAGAUCAGGAGGACCUUAUCCAUGAACUUGAGUUAGGGAUCCCACCACUGACCACAAGGUGGGGAUGUUCUGAAACUUGAAACACUUAAGACAUUUUUUUCUCUUUUUUUAUUUUAUUUUGGGGGUUGCAACUUGUUUUCCAGCCCAAUGAACACACUAAUCCAAGGACUGUGUCAAAGGCUUCCUAAAGGUUGGUUGUUACGUGACUAAAACUGCACCAAGCCCUUGGCUCUUCAUUUCUGUAACUAAAAUAACAGUACCUUCUUCUCCGGGGCCAAUUUAAAUGUAGGAGUAUCCGGGGACUAAGAAGGAGGUAUUGCCCCCCUGUUGAUCUGGUGAUUUAAGGUCAGGAGAGGAAAUGCAAAGAUCUUUCUUUCAAUCUUGUCCAAUCUGUUCUGGUUAAGAAAUUCUGGACACAUGGCCUGUCUCCAAGCCAUCUCAAUACACCCUAGCCUAUGUUACACGGAUGGGUACGGGAAUCGGUAGAGGUAUGUCUCUAAGGUUCUGCUUCAUCUAUUUUCCAUUUCAAGGACACGGGAUAUGCCACAAUAUUCAAAUUUGUUAGUAUGUUUCUUUUAUUUUCUUGGAUAAAUGGUGUUUAUGAAGUGCCUUGGGUUUUGCUUUUCAAAAAAAAGAAGUGCCUUGGGUUUCACAUAGUAACUGAAUUCACAAAAUACACUGGCUAGGAUGUCUGAUACGGGUAUUUUAAAUGUAUUUGAAUAUCUUCAGAAAUAUCUUCAUGGAAAGUGCAAAGAUAAGCUCUUCACUACUGUUAAAAUGACUAGAAGCCAACACAAGCAUAAUAUCUUUUCACUUUCAUUAAACUACUUUUUGCAUGAUUCAUUCUAGUAUAGCCACAAUUUAACCAUUUAGGUCCCAUGGAAUGAUAAGUUUCAAUCACUAAAGAACCAAUAUCAGCCCCUUCUUCUCCUCUUUAUAGGGCCUGAAAUGGGUCCCGAUAAUAAGCUGAAAGUGGAAAAUGCUAUAGAAAGAACUUGGAAAAUGAUGUCCAGACCUUGCUAUCAACCGUUGACACACAUGGAAGUUCCCGAAUGGAAGCUCCUCAAGUCGGCUCCAACAGAAUCUGUCCAAAAAUAUUACACCUCUACAAGUUUAUCCAAAGCAGUCAAAGGAAUUAUCUGACUCAAUAAAAGCAUUAGAGUUUAAGAAUCUGAUCCCAUGUAUGAUUUUUCCAAAGAAAUUACACGUCUACGGGUUUAUCCAAAGAAGUCAAAGGAAUUAUCUGGCUCGAUAAAAGCAUUAGAGUUCAAGAAUCUGAUCCCAUGUAUGAUUUGUGAAUAGCCAAAAGAUGCGCUAGUCUAUAUAAAUUGUGUUCUUCACCUUUCAUUACAUUUUCUGGAGUUAUAUAUGUGACUUAACUUCUACAUUUUGAUGACUGAGGUGUGCUGUUGUCAGCAGAUGAUGUAGUUCUCCUGAUAAGCAUAGGCCUUCCUUUUGCAGCAAAUGUUUGUUGUUGCCCUCCCACUGCCCUACAACUAUGAUGGGAAUCUACAGCAGAACAAAGUGCUUGUGCACAGUAAAAUUUCUCAUGGCAUGCUGAGCAGACCUUGUUAGGAUUGGAAUGGAAGG